AACGAACGCUGGCGGCAGGCCUAAAACAUGCAAGUCGAACGAACCUUCGGGUUAGUGGCGCACGGGUGAGUAACGCGUGGGAAUGUGCCUCUGGGUGCGGAACAACGUCGGGAAACUGACGCUAAUACCGCAUAAUGUCUUCGGACCAAAGAUUUAUCGCCCAGAGAUCAGCCCGCGUUAGAUUAGGUAGUUGGUGGGGUAAUGGCCUACCAAGCCUACGAUCUAUAGCUGGUCUGAGAGGAUGAUCAGCCUCACUGGAACUGAGACACGGUCCAGACUUCUACGGGAGGCAGCAGUUAGGAAUAUUGGACAAUGGGCGCAAGCCUGAUCCAGCCAUGCCGCGUGUGUGACGAAGGCCUUAGGGUUGUAAAGCACUUUCGUCCGCGAAGAUAAUGACAGUAACGGAAGAAGAAGCUCCGGCUAAAUUCGUGCCAGCAGCCGCCGUAA
rnacentral:rRNA from 1 species